rnacentral:rRNA from 1 species
GACGAACGCUGGCGGCGUGCUUAACACAUGCAAGUCGAACGGUAAGGCCCUUUCGGGGGUACACGAGUGGCGAACGGGUGAGUAACACGUGGGUGAUCUGCCCUGCACUUUGGGAUAAGCCUGGGAAACUGGGUCUAAUACCGGAUAGGACUACGCGAUGCAUGUCGUGUGGUGGAAAGCUUUUGCGGUGUGGGAUGGGCCCGCGGCCUAUCAGCUUGUUGGUGGGGUGAUGGCCUUCCAAGGCGACGACGGGUAGCCGGCCUGAGAGGGUGUCCGGCCACACUGGGACUGAGAUACGGCCCAGACUCCUACGGGAGGCAGCAGUGGGGAAUAUUGCACAAUGGGCGCAAGCCUGAUGCAGCGACGCCGCGUGGGGGAUGACGGCCUUCGGGUUGUAAACCACUUUCAGCACAGACGAAGCGUAAGUGACGGUAUGUGCAGAAGAAGCACCGGCCAACUACGUG